UGUCCAACGGCCUUCGGGGCUCUGCCACGUUACCACGCAGCACGGGCCCUACCAGGGAGGAAAGGCUCAUCAAGUUCUCAGGAAUUGGCCCAGUGGAUGAGACUGGGAUGCCCAUUGCUUCAAGAUCAAGUGUGAACAAACCCAAAGACUGGUACAAGAGCAUGUUCAGGCAGAUUCACAAGAAGCCAGAAGAACCUGAGCUGGAGCCUUCAGAGAAGUGGUCAGCUGAAAGGAUGCAGUUGUCUGCCAACACAGAAGAAAGUAAUGAAGCAGACAACCUCUUCAGACUAACACCUCAUGGAGCUCUACCAGACUG